UACGGAGGGAGCUAGCGUUAUUCGGAAUCACUGGGCGUAAAGGGUGCGUAGGCGGGUCUUUAAGUCAGGGGUGAAAUCCUGGAGCUCAACUCCAGAACUGCCUUUGAUACUGAGGAUCUUGAGUUCGGGAGAGGUGAGUGGAACUGCGAGUGUAGAGGUGAAAUUCGUAGAUAUUCGCAAGAACACCAGUGGCGAAGGCGGCUCACUGGCCCGGUACUGACGCUGAGGUGCGAAAAGCGUGGGGAGCAAACAGG
rnacentral:rRNA from 1 species